rnacentral:rRNA from 1 species
AUUGAACGCUGGCGGCAUGCCUUACACAUGCAAGUCGAACGGUAACAGGUCUUCGGAUGCUGACGAGUGGCGAACGGGUGAGUAAUACAUCGGAACGUGCCCGAGAGUAGGGGAUAACGAGGCGAAAGCUUUGCUAAUACCGCAUACGAUCUAGGGAUGAAAGCAGGGGACCGCAAGGCCUUGCGCUCACGGAGCGGCCGAUGGCAGAUUAGGUAGUUGGUGGGAUAAAAGCUUACCAAGCCGACGAUCUAUAGCUGGUCUGAGAGGACGACCAGCCACACUGGGACUGAGACACGACCCAGACUCCUACGGGAGGCAGCAGUGGGGAAUUUUGGACAAUGGGCGCAAGCCUGAUCCAGCCAUGCCGCGUGCAGGAUGAAGGCCUUCGGGUUGUAAACUGCUUUUGUACGGAACGAAAAGACUCUGGUUAAUACCUGGGGUCCAUGACGGUACCGUAAGAAUAAGCACCAGCUAACUACGUGCCAGCCGCCGCAGUAAUAC